rnacentral:rRNA from 1 species
CUCGUAGGCGGUUUGUCACGUCGGGAGUAGAAAACACGGAGCUUAACUCCGUGCCUGCUUCCGAUACGGGCUGACUAGAGGUAUGCAGGGGAGAACGGAAUUCCUGGUGUAGCGGUGAAAUGCGCAGAUAUCAGGAGGAACACCGGUGGCGAAGGCGGUUCUCUGGGCAUUACCUGACGCUGAGGAGCGAAAGUGUGGGGAGCGAACA